ensembl:lncRNA
GGGUGGGGGGGGGGGGGGAUGAUGAAGAAGUGGAUAGCUUGUGGGUAAGAAUUAAGGGGCGGGCUAACAUAGGUGACACUGUUGUGGGUGUGUGCUACAGGCCACCUGAUCAGGAGGAGGAAGUGGAUGAGGCCUUUUACAUCAGCUGGAAGUAGCCUUGCCACCCCCGGCACUCGUUCUUAUGGGGGACUUCAACCAUCCUGAUAUUUGUUGGCAAAGUAACAAAGCCAGGCACACAAGGUCCAGGCAGUUCCUGCAGUGUAUUGGUGAUUACUUUCUGACGCAAGUGGUGGGGGAUCUGAUGUGGAGGGAUGUGCUACUUGACCUUGUUUUUAGCAUCGAGGAAGGGCUGGUAAGGGAUGAGAAGGCUGGGGGCAGGUUGGGAUGCAGCAAUCAUGAGGUAGUGGCGUUCAAGAUCUUGUGUGGAAGAAUCAAAGCAAUAAGUAGGAGUGCUACCCUGGACUUCAGGAGAGCCUACUUGAAGGUAUCCCACGGGCUAGUGUGUUAGAAGGUAAGGGGGCCCCUGAGAGCUCAUUGGCCCUUUAACUCCGCUUCUUCCGAGCUUAAGAUCAGUUGUGGAAGACAAAACUGUUUUGUUUUUUUUUUUUUGGCUCAAAGUUUGCUUUGUGAGGCCUUUCUUGUGAUAAGACUCUAACUGACAACCGUGAAUUAUCUAGGGGGGGCAAGUGGUGGGCGUCACCGCGCCACAAUACUUCUGCUUAUGACUGUAAA